rnacentral:rRNA from 1 species
GAUGAACGCUGGCGGCGUGCCUAAUACAUGCAAGUCGAGCGAACAGACGAGGAGCUUGCUCCUCUGACGUUAGCGGCGGACGGGUGAGUAACACGUGGAUAACCUACCUAUAAGACUGGGAUAACUUUGGGAAACCGGAGCUAAUACCGGAUAAUAUAUUGAACCGCAUGGUUCAAUAGUGAAAGACGGUUUUGCUGUCACUUAUAGAUGGAUCCGCGCCGCAUUAGCUAGUUGGUAAGGUAACGGCUUACCAAGGCAACGAUGCGUAGCCGACCUGAGAGGGUGGUCGGCCACACGGGAACUGAGACACGGUCCAGACUCCUACGGGAGGCAGCAGUAGAGAAUCUUCCGCGAUGGGCGAGAGCCUGACGGAGCAACGCCGCGUGAGUGAUGAAGGUCUUCGGAUCGUAAAACUCUGUUAUUAGGGAGAAACAAAUGUGUAAGUAACUAUGCACGUCUUGACGGUACCUGAUCAAAAAGCCACGGCUAACUACGUG